GCAGUUGUGGCCGAGUGGUUAAGGCGUUCGACUUGAAAUCUAAUGGGGUCUCCCCGCGCAGGUUCGAACCCUGCCGACUGCG
rnacentral:tRNA from 1 species